GAGAAAAAACUAGAAUUCCUAGUAAAGCGGUGAAAUGCGUAGAGAUUAGGAAAAACGCAGGUGACGAAGGCGACUAUCUGGACGAAAACGGACGCUGAGGCGGGAAAGCGUGGGGAGCAAACAGG
rnacentral:rRNA from 1 species